rnacentral:rRNA from 1 species
AGUGAACGCUGGCGGUAGGCCUAACACAUGCAAGUCGAACGGCAGCACAGUAAGCGUUUGCUCUUACGGGUGGCGAGUGGCGGGCGGGUGAGGCAUACAUCGGCAUCUACUAUUUCGUGGGUGACAACGUAGGGAAACUUACGCUAAUACCGCAUAUGAUCUACGGGUGAAAGCAGUAGAUCUUCAGACCUUUCGUGACUGUAUGAGACGGUGUCGGACUAGCUAGUUGGCUAGGUAAGGGCCCACCAAGGCGACGAUGCGUAGCUGAUCUGAGAGGAUGAUCAGCCACACUGGAACUGAGACACGGUCCAGACUCCUACGGGAGGCAGCAGUAGGGAAUAUUGGACAAUGGGCGCAAGCCUGAUGCAGCCAUACCGCGUGAGUGAUGAAGGUCUUCGGAUUGUAAAGCCCUUUUAUUAGGAAAGAACAGCAGCGGAAGAAUACCCCGCUGUUCUGACGGUACCUAAUGAGUAAGCACCGGCUAACUACGUG